AUGGCGUCUCGCACGCCUGUGAGGCAAUUUCUUGCGAGUUUACUUCGAGUGCACCGCGUUGGUUCCUCGUUUGCAACGCACACCAUCGGCAGAAAACGGCAACCGUAUGCUUUCCCGGAGACCACAACUUCAGCCACGCGGUAUAUCUCGCGAGUUAAGCGCGCUUUGCAUAAUUUAAAGGAACCCCAGGCCGUGUUUACACAAAACGAUCUAUCUUAUCUGGUACGGGCAUAGCCUAGCUGCUGAGCAUAAAAAACGGGCGCACGGCGAGAAAAGCGCUGGUCAUAAUCUCCGCGCGUAGAUAGUUUCAUAACUCCUGUCCUCGCACGGUCGAGGCGACCCGAUAGUCAAGUUGCUCAAUGACCCGUAUAUCGAUUAAAAAAGCGAGACGCUUUUCCCUCUCUGCUAUGCAAACGCAGUCAAGCUGUGGCGGCCCCCUCGCUCCCCGUUGGCCGCUGAUGAAAUUUGAGCUGGGCGGUUUCGAGACGCGCAAGAGCCAGCUUGCUUCGGUUGCGUCCUGCGUGCCCGUGGCUACUCAGUCCGCAUCCGCGACAGUAACACCCCCGGCCGCAAGGUGGGCCUCUGGGGCUGUGACUUCUGCGCCUUCACUCACGCCAACGUGGCUAAGGUCCAGGCUCACGUCCAGGAGCGCCAUCUGGCGGCUCUCAGGCGCACCUGGGAGACCACGGCGACCCUGUGGCAGGGCAACGAAUCUCGGGGGGACGCCCUCUGCAGUGAUGGAAGUGGCAGUGCUGGUGGUGUUGUUGACUCGUGCUCCCUAGUGCCACAACCGCAAACGGCUAGUAGACGGCAAUUUCGUUUCCCACCAAUGCACUUUGCAUCCUCCGAGGACAGUGGCGGCAGUGCGUCAGCCCUCGAGCCGAUUGUCAUCUGCAAGAUAGACGAAGAAGAAGAGGAGGAGAAGGCCUGCAUGCGGCGUGCAGGGCCCUCGUUUUGAACUGAAAUGGAAAGGAGAGCACGAACUUUCUGGGGUCUUCUCGAGGUGAAGGUUUCAUUUGCACGGGCACAAUCUCGUGAGUGUGAAAAUACUAGCCUGGCAGACAUCCUAACGUAGGCCCUUUGCAUAACGUGUACUUAGUUAGAUGCUGCAGUAAGAUUUAAUGCUUUGAGACUUGAAAUGACGAGUCCAUGAUUUAGUGCAGUUGUUGGGGGUUGUUUGACUCAGAGUUACUGUGGUCAUGAUUUAGCAACGUUACAUCAAUACUUACUUGCAGCGCACUCUUGUUGUGCACUGUUCGCAAGUGCCAAAAAUUUUGGAAACGAACUUGUCAGUCUAUAUUGCUGAGUGAGCAGCAAUGACCCAGGAGUCUGUGUAAAUAUUGUUGUAGGAAACUUCACUAGUCGAAGGUGUCAUUGACCUCAUGAAGGAAUGUUUUCAGUAAAGUGUAAGACAAAGCACAUAUGUAAAACUCACGUACUGAAGAAUUUCAGCUUAUAGGUUUGCUCCUUAACAUUACUGCUUGUCCUUGUACUUUUAGCAGUGGUGGACUUCUUGGCUUAACAACUUAAUCUCAUUCGUUCUGUGAAGUGAUGAGUGAAUUUCGGCUGAACCAGCGCACUUGUUGGCAUAAAUCGGACCUGCAAUGCCCAUUGCAGCACGCUUGCCUGAGCUUGUGCUGGUGCAAAUGAAACACACACUUUCUUAUCGCAUGGUGCACUGAAAAUAUUUCUUACUGUGCUUUGUUUCUUGCUCGAAAGACAUACGAACUUCUGAAUAGUAUGCAAGGUACUGAAAAGUUCGAUUGUUUGUACAGCUCAUCUGAGAGUGUGGCCAUUUGUGUAACGCAGACUAUUUUUUAUCUCCUGGCUGACAAUCGUGUCGUAUUUUGCUGCUGAACCACGUUGAAAGCGAGCGCUACCUUUCAGGGACACGACAAGCAAACAAAAAAAAAUUUUUUGUCAUGUGCACUUGCAAGGGAAAGUGGACUGCGCGACAUUGUGAAGGCAUGGUGUGACCAUUUUUUCUAUGGAAAAGAGCAAUCUUGCUUUGCGGGCAAGGCAUACCAGUUCGAGUCUGUUUCUUCCUACAUCUUGUUCUCGUAGUGGUAACACUGUUCUUCUGUAACGCGGAUUACUCAUAGAGGAGGAAAAGAAGUUGACAGCAUGAGCACAUGUUUUGUCUGUUCUCUUUUUCUUGGUCCACGUGUCAUCUACACUGCAGAAAAAAAGACUUAUCACUGAGCUUGUCUUCAUAACGCUAGGCCAUUCCAUAUGCACUUCCCCUGCCUCCUCAAGGUUCACGUAUUUGUUAUUCUGGUCGCUGUGUUUUCUUUGUUAAAAUCUUGCAUGCUCUGUCCAACAAGCAGAAGAUGCUCCUGUUUUCUGUGCCUGCCAUUGUGCUGUCUUUCCCCUUCGUUGUUCAAUGAGGCAUUGUCAAAUUUUAUGCUGCCAUCUUGAAAUAAUCAGCAUGUCAUUCGGCAGUCUACAUGUUCCUUGUCAUUUUCUUUGUACAGCUUCGUCUGAGAUUAGAAAACGUUUAGUUUCAGAGCUAGUGGUGAUAAUUGCACUCACCAAGAUGUUCCUUACAUUUAUUCUAAGGGAAUCGAAUUUGCUGGUACAUUGGCUCUUCUUGAAGGGCUAUACAUGAGCAAAGAGGCAAAUCUGAUAAGAUUUUACAAUUUAAUUGGUCUUUCUGGCCUUGUUUUCUUUGAUGGUGUAGCUGUAACAUUUUAGUCAAACUCUACUUUAGCUGUUCUGCAAGUUUGCUGUCUUCUGUGUAAUGAUCUUCAAGCUCCUGAUUUUUGGGAAGCUUGAUGAUCAUAUUUCAAUUUCUUUGGCAUGUAAACUUCUUUGGGUUGAUGAGUUGGAUUUGCUUAGCCCAGUGCUUGCAACAUAAUGUGCCAUUGUUGAAAUUGCUUUGCUAAUUAUGUCAUAACUGGGGAAAAAACUGUGAUAAUGACAUAAGCACUUCUAGCCGUUGUAGUCGAAUUCUUUUAUACAGAUGUUCUCAAUUACAGUUACAUCACAUGUGGUAAAAUCCAAAUUAGUGCUUUUAAUUUUGAGUCAUCGUGGUGAAAUUUCAGCAUCAUCAAUACAGGACAUUUGAAGUUAAAGUGACAUGCUGGGAGCAUUUUCUAAAUCCACCAAUUAUUCCAACUAAGCCAUGCGUAGCUAACCCCAAUGUGCUAAGUGCUAACUGCUAAGUGAAUGUCUUAUUGAAGAGUAGGCCAUAUAGUCAUUCUUAUUUUGAGCAUCUUCACAAAAUAAAUUAGAGACUAUGCUUCCAAGACAAGAAUACUUAAAUUAUGAAUAAUACACAACCAUUGCUGCUGAAGUCGUUUAAUGAAGUUACUGGAAUCUGAUCUCAGAAUUGAGGAUAGGGCUCGGCUGCAAUGCUUGCUGUUGACUUCAAGAAUUAUAGGCUGCGAAGAAAACGUGCAAUUAAUAUUAAGUCGUGCGAGACCCCCUUGCACAUUUUUUUUUUUUUUCAGUUGUUAGAGCAUUGGUGCAAGAUUCAAAGUUCUUGGGAUUUUUGAGGCUCAAAGACUGUGGGUGUAUAUAUGUUAUCAAAGACGUCUUAACAUUGUUCUUUAAAGAGCUUUGUGUACAGUUACAGGGUUUCAGAGUGCAAUGUAUACUUGUUUGUUGAAAAUACUGAGUGCAAAGUGUUCCUGUGAUGCACAAUCUUUCUCUGCUUUUCUUUUUUUAUUAUUUCUUUUUGAAACAUUCCUUCUGUGCCAUGUAGUUUAUAUAUAUAUUUUUUUUCUUUGUACACACAAAGUUGCAAUGCACCUGAUGUUUUCCUAGUAUUAUUUUUAUCAUCAUGGUGAUGACGGUAUUUGUUGUGUGUGAAGAUCUUUUCUCCUUUUCGGUAUACAUUAUUAUCAUAGUCAAAGAGUUUAUUCAGAGACUAUUAUUACUACUAUAACCAAAUUUAUCUCUAUUGUUGUACGCUGACUGCUGUUUGCCCAAACAUGUCUUUUUUUCUUUUUUUUUAUGCAAAGGCAUCUGCCCUUUUGAAGUUGUCAAAAUGACAAAGUGCCAAUAAUAUACCUUUAAUCUUGAUUGCCAGGUUGUGCCCCUUACCUGUGGUGUCUUUGUACUUGCAAUACCAUGGUGUGAACCUUCGUGUCACUUGCUUGCCAUUUAUAGUCAUUUGAUUAUGCAAUCUCAAGUUUUCUUUUUCAAGUGAUAACAAAAUGAUGUUGGCACUUACUGCUCUUAAUGUUGAAUAGCUGAAAUUGACCUAAGUAGUGAAAAAAUUUCCAACUUUGACCUGGUUAUACGAGCAAUUCUUGUAGUCGCGUUUAAUAACAUUUUUUAAUGAUUCCUCUUUAAUGUUGCUGCUUCAGUGAAGCUGGUAUUUCUAGUUGGGCUUGACUUGAUGCCAGCAGUGCACGAAUUCUAAGAGGCACAGUGCUACCUUAUCAGAAAAAAGUCUAGUUGAUGACCAUAUUGUUAUGUUAAAGGUCAUGGUGAUGAAGAUGUCUGGAAUUAAGGAGCAUAUUAAAAGCUUGAAGAGAAAAAGCACAUCUUAUAAUGUUUUGCUAAACUACUUUUCAGUGCCCUUUAACAGAGGUUUAUUGAUUUUCUGUGUUCAGCGCUUUCCAUUUCCAAUUUUUGAAGCUAAAUGUGCAUCAUGUGACGACUUGCUGCCGCUAGCUUAAAAUUUUUUAUGCACGCUUAUCUACCCACUUGUGGCACUUAUUAAUCGAAUGUGUUCUUUGUCCGAGUGGAUCAUGGACAGAGAUGCGUUGCUAGCAGAAAAAGAUAAAGAAAAAAGAAGACAGCCUAGCUGUGCGAGUCACUUGAAUCUGAUGUCACGAGCCUGCGUGAGUCUAAUCUUUCGUGAUUCAGGAUCUCUCCAAACCGGUGAGGAGAUAAGGCAGGGCACGUGGAGGAGACCUUAAGGUCAUGUGAUGACAUCUGUCGAUGCACUUAAAGAAGUUAUCAGUAAAGUUACGAAACAUGCUGAUGUUGAAACUGUGCUCUCCUGCAUGGCCCAAGUUGCCAAUGCGAAGCCUGUAUUGUUGGCAAUUGCCCGCAAUUGUGAGAAGUGAAUACAGCGCUACAGGCUACAGCAUAGAAGCAGCUAUGAUUGUUAUAUGUUUCAUAACUUGCAGAUCUCCUGGGGAGCCACACAUUGGCUCUUCUUUGACCUGAGCUGCGCUUCUGAGGGCAGUUCGUCUAUCUUGUCCAUUCAUUUGAUGAUCCUGCUCUUGCACUUUGAGCCGUUUGCAGACACUUAAAAUUCUUCUGGAAGGUAAUGUAAGAGAUCCUUAAACCCAAAAGAAGGAUGUCUGUGUGUGAAAAAUCAAUGCAGACUGUAGCUGUGCUCACUGGACACUAAUCACCACAGCAUGUCAGUGAUAUCCAGAUGUUGAGGGUGGCACUGGCAAAAUAGUCUAAUUUGGCUGGAAUGAAUCUCAUUCUCUGUGUCUUGUUUUUGCUUUUGCUUUGGCCUUUAGGGAUACAUGUUAACGAAGCUUCUUUGGGGAUUAAGCACACAAAAAUUUCAACACUUGCUAAGCACUUUCUGUCUGCUCUCCUAAGUCAGUUGCCUUCAUCCAUGGAUCCUUAUCGAAGCAGUAAAGUUCACAAGUAUAAGUUAAUAAGCAGUAGGAUGAGGAAAGCCUUUUGAUGAUUUAUGUGACUUGUGCAGCUUAUCAAAACCAAGAAAUGAUAUGAAACCAGAAAUGAUGCACAAUAUGGUCACUCAAACGCAGCUGCAGAUUCACACUCGUUAUCUGGAAACUUAUGUACCAAAGAGGCCAGUUGAGAAAAUGCAUGCUCGCAGCAUAUCUUGGAACACUAGUGUAGUGCAAGCAAGACGAGGACACAGAAAAGAACAUGAACACAAAGACCCUGGCUGGCGUGUUGUCCUGCCGCCAUAUGGACAUUUUCAUUUUCACAUGCCAACAUGUUCAUGUUCUUUUCUGUGUCCUCCGUCUUGCUUGCACUGCACUAGUGUUCCAAGAUGACACCUACACGUCUGCAUUGUGACACUAAUUCACAGGCACAAGCUAUUAAAAGCUGAACUGGAGCUUUGACAGUCUGGUUGCAGUGAGGAGGAAAUAUUUUACGCAACAUGGUGUUUUAAGCACUGAGAGUUGGCAAGGGAGGGAAGUUAAUAAUUUUUUGUUAUGAUGCUAAAGCAAAUCGAACCAGAACAGGUGUUGAACAGGUGAAGCACAGUUAUGUUCGGUUUCGUCAAUUAACGUUCGUGUUUAUGGCCAAUUUUAGUACUAGUGCUAGAUUUAAGGGAGUUCUCCAUCUAGCCAACAUUCAAGCUUGAGGAAGAGCACAUGUGAGAGGGUGGAGUCUAAUGCUUCCUGGAAACAGGGUCAUCAUUAACAUAGAAGCAUGAUCUUAAAUCUAAAAAGGGUUAUCAGGUUUCAUUAGUGAUCCAAUACUUGCAACUGCAUUGUGGGAGAGUAAACUGUCCUGGCAGGUGCAUCCUUCGGAACUUUGUGCACUGUGAGCUUCAGGUCAAGACCCAGCUUCAGCUGUUGUUGUUCCUGUUGUCUGGGAUGCAGCAUACUUCUGUGUUCCUUCUCAUAUUGUUUGUUUUUGGGAGUAAUGAGGAUAAUGCUAAUAAAGGCUUUCCUUUCUUCCCUCUCCCACUCCUUCCCACCCCACCCCCUCCCCAAAAAGUGCCCGCAGGUUUUUUGUCUAUGGUGUUGGCACCGGCAGCAGAAGCAGUCCCGUCGACAACAUACAUGCCCUUAUCCAUGCCAAGGGGUGGCGGUGUAAAUCGCCGUGGCCGCCAACAGUACCCAGCCAUAUUGUGGCCCAUCGCGGGCAGUACUAUGAAGAAAAAGUACACGUGCAACCUGUGCAGUUACUCGACCGACUACCCGACCAACAUCCAGCGCCACAUGCUGACCCACACGGGCGAACGGCCCUUCCGAUGCGAAACCUGUGGCAAGGGCUUCACCACCAAGCAGAACCUUGAGAGCCACAAGCUCCAGCACAUCAAGAAUGCCUGGUGCCCGAUGUAGCACAUGCGCUGCAUCUGUGUGCCCUCCUUGUUACCGAGGUUUUUCUCUUUCCUGGCAUGUUCUCUGUGUAGGGACAGGUGGUUGUCCGUUCUUGACGUUCAAUUGGUUUGCAGAAAUUUUAUGCAGCAUAUGUAUCAAUUCUUUCAUGUUUUUUUUUUUUUUCCCCGCUGUUGCUCCAUCUCUCUCCAGCCAUGCUUUCCUUUCAUUGCUAGUUUGACUUGGUGUGCACAGAAUGGUACCUAUUUCUGUUUUUUGUGGGCACAAGAGAGCCACAUAAAAUAAGUUUAUGUAUAUCUACAAAGAAAGCACCUGUACUGACAGUGCUUUUAUUUACAUAGCUGCUUGCUUAAUGUCAGAAGAUUUGGACGUGGCAGAGACAAGAGAUGUUUAUUUCUGAACGCCAUUUGUAGCUCCUCUUUCCUGGCAUUCAGUCAAGCUAUUCAACUGGCGAUAUGUUUAAAAAGAGGUAAAUUAUGAAGCUGACAGCAAGCCAGCCAUGUUGAGAUGUACACAGAGGUCAGUCAUGGAUGGUGCCUUAUUCUAUUUAGUGCCCUGGCCCCAUUAUAAUUGAGCCCAAAGCAGAUUGUUUUGGCAACUUUUUUUUUUUUUCAGAGAUGGUAAAUGCAUACUUAUAUGCUUCAGGUGGCUGGCGUAGUGCUUGUUUUUGGCCCUAUGUUGGUGUUAUGACCUUCUUUUAGCCACACAGCUUGAUGGCUUUCUUAGUUUUCAGUGGAGUAUGCCAUACUGUGCAGUUGUACUAAUGCUUCAUUUUCUGGCGUAGUAUUUUAUUCUGGCUUUGCACUAAUGUUGCAUUGCCAUCCACACAAGCAUGCACAGUAGUGUCCAUUCAACCAGUACUCGCACUACCGUAUACUACGACAGCAUUACAACUGUUGCCCAGCAUUUUUGUAUUGCUUUGGCUGCAGUGCUGUCCUGCCACCACAUGGGCAGUUUCAAUUUGCACGUGCCAACACUUCGAGGCACACUUUUACAAAUGUGCCAGUUUGAAGUUUAGGCAUGCUCUGCCUUUUUUAAUAUUUUCGAGUUUCUUGUGCUUUCAGAGCUCCAAAACUGUUCUGGCUUUGCCCGUUGUCAAAUGCCCUUUUGAUGGCCUUGCCGGGCGUAACUUAUUUUGUUCCAAACUGGUUUUGUGUCGUCACGUUUCUCAGUUGGUGGCUUGUCUGGGGUCUAGGAGUAUAGUGCCUAAACAGCUGUCAGCUUGAGUCAGUCUCGUGCGUCCCAAGUACUAAUUCUGUGAACUCGAGGUCUUCACUGCGUUGACAUAGCCAUGACAUUUUCUUGUGGCCUGCUAGUCUAGCGCUGGGGGGGGUGUGGUUAAAGUAGAGUGAUUGGUCACCAAGGUCGAGUGUGGUUAUCGAGGUUGGGAGGUUUGCAGGCAUAGGAUGGGUUCGGCCGAUGUAAGAAAGGGAAAAUCGCUCGGAACGGCCUUCAUAUUGUAAUGCGCAUAAAAUAGGCUGAUGAUUACAGAACCCAAGGUGGUUAAAAUAAUCUGGAGCCCUUUCCUGAAGUUUCUCUUACACAAACCCCUUGUUGCUCUGCGACGUUAAAAUCCGUCACCCAUGCAAUCGCCUCUCAAGGCUUCCCAAUUCAUUUUUGGUCGUAAGGUAUUUCUUGUAUACUUAAAUAUUUUCCUGCAUUUUAAAAAUGAAUAUAAAUAAGAUUUCCAUGGCAGGAGCCAUAGAAAAAGUCUGAAGUGGCUGCUUCUCUAGCAUAAAAAAAAUGGCCAAAGUAUUGAUUUAAGUUUGCGUUUUGUUUUAAGGCAAGGCGAAGUAUAGCACCGCCCGAGUGGUAAUAGAGUGUCCUCAAGCUUAAAGGACCUAGGGUUGUGUCUACUCUGUAGUCAGCAUUUUUGACACCCAUGGUGAAUCUUUGGCACUCUAAGUUCAUAAAAGUUACUGUUGCUUUUGUUAAGGGGGCUUUAUUUGUCUCACUGGCAUUUGUGAAUAGUCACUCUGGCUCCAGUGCAAUCAAGGCAUGAAAAUAAGAAAGUUUAUGGUUGCAAUUAAGAGUAAAAAAUGUGUUUUCGAAUUCCCAUAACUGUGCCAGCCUUGAAUUGAAUAUGGUUUGACUGCUAUUAUUCACCACUUUAUGUUGUUAUAAAUUGGGAAGCCUUUGCCUUUGUCUUUGCUAAAGUGCAUAAUGUACAGCUAAAUAUAAUAACUAUAUAAAACACCAUUGUGCAGUAACCUAAUAGCUUGUUUUUCUUGGCCCUGGUUUUCUGGUCACUGGCUUCAUUUCGAAAGAAGCUUUACAAUCAUGAAGUUGUGCACGUUGCAUGUGUUAAUUUGCAUGCAGCAUAUUUGGCCACGUGAAUGAUUCACAUGAAAAGAACAAUACUGUACAAGUCGGGCCUGCAUAAUAAUGUCUGCUUACAGAAAUGUUUAUUUGCUGUUGUAGUAGUUGUAUUAGAAGAAGCGAGACAUCCAGCAUUUGUUAUAAUCUAAUGUAAUAAUUUGUUUCUUAGUAAUCAGUUAGCCAUCUUCCAGCAACUGUAUCCAAAAUGGCUUUGGGCAUCUUGAAGUCGGUGCUGCCAUCGUUUGCUUUUGUAUUGAUUCUGGCAUAUCAAGUUUCUUCUCAUGGCAAGAUUGAUCUCUCUGCGCUUGCAUAGUUGCAGUCUGUUAAUAUAACUUGAAUUAAUCGCUUUAGUUUCACUAUAAUUACUGGCUACAGUGACUGCAUUCUAGUGGAGCAGCAUGCAAAAGUGAACGUGUUGAUGCGUGCUGGAACCCCACACAGUCUUCUGAAUUGAUCUGUUGCCUUCCACCGUGGCAUCUUUCAUUCUUCAGCUGCAGGGUUGUGGCUCAAAACACCACCAGUUACUUGUACUGCUAGAAUUUUCUUAGAUCUGCACUAGCCUCUGAAAACAUUUAUUUUGCCUUGUCCUAACCGAUUCUUAUUGCACACUGUGCCAGUGGCUUUCCUUCCUCUUUUGACUUAGUUCGUUGGGUUUCUGAAAUCCGGUCCAGACGGUUCACGCUGCAAACCGCCCAGCAGUAACUUUCGAGCUUAUAACUGGCUAGUCACCAGGCAUUUGUGCCACGUGAAGAGAGGAUUGUUCAUGUCUGAGCACGAGCAAAGGCGAAAAGUGAAAGAGUCCGUGAUAUGUUGGUCUAUUGUCAGUUACUUUGUUUUGCCUCCUCGAUAGGUUUUGUGUUGUGUGUUCUUGUGUUUCAUGGCACUUUCUGAUUAAAUAGUGUACCUUUGUGUUGUGUGCUUCUUGCAGUUUUUAUGCUUUUAUUUUGUACCUUAAACUUGUAGUAGGUGUUCUUGGCGAGUCUGUUAUAUGUAGUCGUGGUAUUCUUGCCUUGCAUUGCCAUUUUACGGAGUUGACAGGGUUUUCUAAUACAGAGGGAAUGUCUGUUGUUGCUGUCCAAGCAAUAUCAUGCACAGGGGCCUUGAAGGGGCUCUCUUCUUGAGCUUUAUUCUGAACAAGAGGAGGCUUACAAUAUAAAGCUUGUCUUAGACCGACAAAAUAAGAGGUAUCUUUGAGCCAUCUAAGUAAGGCAUGUAGGCUAAGACUUGUUCACACAAGGAAAGUUAUGGGAGCUAGUGUUUGUAUACUGCUGAAAUUAUAAAGGAGAUAUUAAGCUUCUUCACUUUAUUGUGUAGUCUAUUUUUCGUUGUUUUGAUGGGUAUACCUUGGCAGCAGUGGCAAAAAUGAUAAUACAUACAGGCCACUUGUCGCACUUGGGAUCUAUCGUCACAGCUGCAACUGUCGUAGUGUUUAUGGAACUGUUAUGUACUGAAAUUGUUUUUUCCAUCUUUCAUUUUUUUAUUUUGUUUGUAUAUUACUGUGUGUAUGUUUUCGACAGUGUUGCCUUCUUAGUGAGUAAUGAACCUAUACUGAAGCUUGUUUGGGAAAUUCUUUGGGAUGGCUUUUAUUUUUGCACAUUGCUUUAUUCACUGUCACGUGGUCUUGACGGAACAAAAAUUAUUGUGAGGUUCAAGAUAACUUCUUCAGCGCUUCAGCAUUUCCCGUAACGUGAUUGCACCAAUGCCUCAGCCGACGCAGCGGGGUCAUGGCUGUCAGAUGCGUUAAUUGACAGAGGACCAUGUAAGUGAACUUAUAGCAGGAAGCAUUAUGAAAAGAAGCACAUAGUUGUUAGGUUGACCACCAGAAAAGAGAGGGGUUUGACAGAAGGAUUAUUUUGCGUUUGCCAUCACACUAUGUGUUUUUCACAUAAAUUCAUGUUUGUGAGUGCUGAGUCAUUGAAGCACCCAAUUCAUAGCCUCUUUUGAAACCUGAUCAAGCAAGAAAUAUCAGCACACAUUAAACUCCUUUGAAAGGUUAUGACUCUGCUUUAAAUAGGCAGCUUCUGCCCAUUUGCAAUGCUGUUGUAUUAUCUCGUAUUUCUUUUCCCUAGCCAAAACUUAUUUCAUGCACAGCUUUCUCUUUGAUAACAUAAGGUUGUAUGAAGAUGUGCUAUUGGAAUGAUUGGAGUGGAAGUUAGUAUCUCCUUCCUAUUCCAUAUUUCAUCAGUGGUAUAAAUUUCAAAAGCCAUAUAGCUUGCUUAUAGACCGACUUGGAACAUGAAGGCCCUACAUGCACUGCAAUUCACUUUCGCAUCAUGCACUCUGAUUUAUCUAGUAUAUGCCAAGCUUAAUUUUUGGUCCUUGGCAAAAGCUACAUGAUUGUGACUUCUGUAGGAACACUGUCAGAGUAGCUCGUUCCUUAGCUGUGUGCUGGUAUACUUACUUACUGGUUACCGUGGGGCUGCUCAUUGCCCCAGUGUUAAGGUGCUCUGUGCCGUUCCUUGCACGUCUGUAGGGCGUCGCCGUCGGCUCUUCGCAGCUGCGUCGUGCUCGGCAAAGACACCUCCUGGCAGCAGCGGCUUUCACUGCCGCGUCUGCGGCAAGACCUUUGUCCGGAAGCACACAAUGGUGAACCACUUUUGCCUGCAGAAGCAGUGAGACCACACCUCGCCCACAGCUCGCAACACAGGCAAGGCCACAUUCGCUGGGGAGACGCCGCCGCACUAACACACUCGCAGGGGCCAAGGUGACUUGCUUGGCAGAGGGGGCAGUGCGUUGACAUGCUUGUAGAGCUGCCACCAAGGUGGCCGGAAGUCUUAGAGGGCCCCUAAAUAUGCUACUUGGUCAAGAAUUUCGCUUUUGACUGGCACUGUCCAAGGUGCUGUUGAGGAAAGAUUCCUCCUGUAGGGUCUGUUGGUAGAUGCUCAUGACAAGCAUAAACAGGAGCGGACGUGUUAGUGAAAUUCCUGUCUCCCUUUUUGCCAUCUGUUCUUGUUUGCACUUCCAUCACAAACGUGUCUCCAGCAAGAAUUCUUAACAAAGUUUCAAGAUUAGUCGUGUGGGUACUUGGAAAAAUUAAACUUGCCUCUGAGAUUGUAACUGUGCCCUCUCCUUGCCAUCACUUUCUGUUGCUCUGGUACACAUUCAGCUUUCAUGGUCCUUCAGUGAAUGAUUCUUUUUUUUUUUAAUGCUGCAGGCUGAGGUUUUUUUUUAUUUAUUAAUAUUUAUUAGUAUCAUUAUAUAUAUAUAUAUAUAUUUUUUUCACAUUCUGUAACAUUGCCAGCUCCUGACAGGGUUUUCUUGCGAUGUAUGUUUAGAAACCCUCGGUGGCAUGAAUGCUGGUGUUACUAGGAUCGUAUGUCUGAGAACAGUUGGCACCACUAGAACAAAAGAUCAGGUUUUCAUUUGAGAUUAUGUCUCUCACAAUUACUAAGCAGUAAUGUUUGACCUGCGUGACCAUUACAAAUGACUCUGCGUACUGUGCUUAUUACUUCAAGGCAUCUGAAGUGGUUUAGGGGCCCUUUAAGGAAAGCAAGCUUGGCCCUGCUGGACUUAUCCGCAUUGCUUGUUUGCCACUACCCGCUAGAGCUGUCAGGAUUUUCAGGGGCUAGGGUGUCAUUUUUAGUUGUGUUGCUCGGAGCAAAAGCCCUGCAUGAAGUGCUACCAGCAUCCCAAGUAGUCCAACUAGGCUAACAGCAGCACAGUAUAUUUUGUAAUGGUUUAUGGAAAUCGAAAAAUUCUGGCCUUCAUUAAAAUUCCUAGACGUUCUUUCAGAAAGUGUGUGUCCUAGCACAAUGUAGCCAACAGUUCUGUAGAUAGCUUGACAUGAUAAGUUGCAUAACUGAUUUGGAGAUAACUUGUCAUUCAUAGUACUGGCGGAAAGUCGGACACUCACAGGCUCAGCUGGAUAAUUGAAUCGUUGAGGACAUAGUACAUUAAACAUUAAUGAAAUACAAUUGGAUUUUAUUAAAAUUUACGCAGUGUAAGGGUUUGAGUCAAAUUCAUUCCAGACUAGAAUAAAUCUGUCUCCUUUUCAAAGAACCUAUGCAGGUUUGCUUUCAUUGCAUUCUGCUACAGAAAAGUGGACUGCAAUUUUCAUGAGAGCCCCUUCACCUUGUGAAUUUCUGGAGAACUAGUGUAGUUGAAGGUGGGUGUAAUUUUGCUGUGGAGGAACAAAAAAAGAAUGCAAUUAAAGAGCCUACACAUUCUUUUCUCAAGCGGGAACCACCACAACCACUUCUCCUUGCUAGGGAAUCCUACUAAAUCUUGGAAGGGAGAAUGUGGGACUUGAUCUUGGUAUAACAUUCUAGUUGGUUGAUCCCUUGUGAUUCAGCACGCUUAGUUUAUACCCUAUAUGAAACCUGUUCAAUUGCUUUGUGUGCAUGAAAUAACUGUUUUAGCUUGUCAUAGAACUUUACCUGAUUGAUAGUUAAUAAGAAUAGUUGCUUCAUGCCGAAUGUAGUAGUAUAGUAUGCAGUGUCAAAGGAGCUGAAGUGCCGAGUCUUCCACACUGAUUUAUAUUCUCUUGAAAUCGCAUCCAGAAUGCAGUUUAACACAUGGCAAUCUUCGUAAUAAUUGUGCUGCCAAGAAUCAUAUUCUUUGAAGGCAUUGGCAAAAGUCAGAAUACAUUUCCCACAUAAGCAUAGACAGGGCUUUCCAUGAAUUUUUUUUAGAAAUCAACAUCAAUGAACAAAGAGUAUGGAGGGAGGGAGGUGCUGUUUCUGGUAGUGACAAGUUUUCUACAACCAUGCCUGCAGAUUAUGCUGAUAUUUUGGAUCAUUUAUGCCCGUACCGACCAGUGGCAAUAUAUUCUUGCAAAUUGCAUGCAAAAGAGUGAAAGUGCCGUGUGCCUCUAUCAAAUGAUAAUAGUCAAAUGACCCCUCAAACGGGUUUUAAGAUACCGAACAAUUUGAAGUGCCUUCCCCUGUAAGACUGCACUUUUCCUCCACACUUUUGCCUCUCUGGAAUUGACCCGACUGACCAUUACACUGGUCAGUCACUAAUACGUACACUAGCCAUGUACUUCAUGACUGGUGUAUUGUACUCAGGCCUACCGCAGUGAAGCAGGGUCACCAGUUGCUCUUAACUGUGACAUGAAUGCACUCCAUUCUUUUUUCUCUUAAUUUCAUUUUGUUUUCAAAUUACAUAGAGGUCCCUUUCAUGUAGUCAAGAGUUCAGCAAAAGUUUGUUAGGUCAGACAUCAUAAUGAAGAAAUAAUUGUGGUCACUGACCAAGUCAAGGUGGGGAAAAAAAAGUAGUUUUGGAGCUCAUACAGGUUCCUUGGUCACUACCUACUUUGCAUGACUUUACAUAAGUCAAGAUCACCUUACAGUUGACUUGGUCAGUGAUCGCAACUAUUUCUUAGUGUUCAUUUCGUGCCUGCAUAAUUUUGUGUCAGUCUAGACGUCGUAAUGCAUGCUGCGUCAGGCGUCCCUUCUCGCAAUUUUCUUGCUGCCGAGUGCAGGAGCACAGUGGUUGAGCACAGUCUGCAUGUUGCGUGCAGAAAACAAUUUGUGCAAGGCAUUCCUUACACAUUCAGUUAUAUUACAUUGACAUGCCACGCAAUGCUGCCGCACCUCGCCUGGCUGUGGACGCAGUCAAUAAUUAGAAGGUAAAAAACUGGGCAAAUUGGUAACUGUUGAAACAUGUUGGCAUAAAAGCAUGAAAGAUGGAAACGGUGACAGAAUAGCUGCACAGGAUCAGCCAUGACUAACAACUCGAGGUUUAUUAAAAUAACAUUGAACACAAAAGCCCUUGGGGGGGGGUGAUGCACAUGCAUAGUCAACUGGAAAGUAAUAAUCAUGCGCCUAAGAACGUUCCAACCAACCAAGAAGCAUUUAUAAAAGCAGUAACAAACACUUCAUGGCAUCAACAGCCUUCUUUACAUCAUAGUGUUUAGUGCUGUUCAAGUCAACAUGUUCCAAAAUUAGGUGGCGAUAUGCAUAGCGCUAAAGUAGUAGGCAGCAAAGCUGCCGGCACCCACUUGGGAGAGCCCAUAGUUAAGACGUGAAAACAUCAGCAAAGUUUAUAUGCUCGAGGCCUUUAGCAUUGAGUGGCUUCACUUUCCAGAGACCAUGCACCUAACACAGCUUCACAGGCUCUGAGUAACUUAUGUGCAAAUCUGGUGGCAGGUCUGGUAAAGAAUGCACAGCUUAAACGGGCAGAGUCAUUUUAUAGUGUCAUAUUUCCCUGUGCUCUCUAAGACUUUGGAGUGUCAUCUCUGCUUUCGAUGAAUGUCCCAGCACUAAAUUAAAAAUUAACGUUGAAGGCCGUUAGGCUUUGUGGGAAUUGAGAAGCCGUAGCUAUAUUGUAAAUAUACGGGGUUACUAAACUAUAAAUUUUGUUCUGACGGAUUCUACUUUGUGAUUUGUUGUCGUUGACACAUGCUCAGAGGAAAGGAAUAAACGUUAUGAUGGCUAAAGUAAUUUAAGGUUCAAUGCAGUAAAGAGCAUGACAGAUGCAACAAUAUCAAGCUAAGGUUGCUGUAAGACCCUUCAGUUCUGUCAAGGUAUACAUUGUAUUGUAGACCAAGAACAUAGUGAAGCAGAUGUGGUCACAGUGAAAGGUCUGUGAACAUUAUAAUGUUGAAAGUGGCUUGUGGACUCCUAAAGCAACCUACAGCUAUCGCGUCAGUGGACUUGUAAAACAACCUACAGGCGUCUUUUUGGGCAUAGCAGGCUGGCAAAACUUUCAUGAAAAGCCUUUUUUCUCUCUCUUUCAACUUUUCUUUGUUUUUAAUAUGACUCUUGACCACCCCGUAAGGUUCGGCUUAGGCAAUAUGACGUCUUUGAUUGCUCAUUGCCUCACGUGUACUUGUAAAAGGCUACCUGUAAAGAAAUUAAUGCUAGAUGAGUCUAAGGAACCUUGUGUGCUUAAAAAGUGUGCAAACGCUGUAGUGCAUGCAUCAUUCCAGGUGUUAACAGAGCCAAGAACUAUCUUCCUCAGAACUUGAUUAUUGUGUAUGUAUCCCAAUUCGAAAGCCAGAAAGCAUUAACAAAAGCAUACACAUUUGCACUAGUAUUAAAACUAGCUUUUGUAGUCUUGGUGCCUUGAGAACUGUUUGGUAGGUUGAUUUGGUUGCGGAUAGAAGUCUGAAGAAAGUUUCCUCUGAGCCCCUCGCAAGAUUGCAAGGUAAAGGUUUCAAGCUCGAAACCUGCAAGGAAUGUGUCUUUCUUUUUUCUUUUUUGUCGCUCUCAAAUUCAGGUUCGCAAACAAGAGCAGUAGUUUCCAAAGGGCGUAUUCUUGGUCGAUCACUUUUGUGGAUACUAUCACUUUUUGCAAGAUAUCAUGUGACUGCAUUGAACUCGUCGGCAUCUAUGGGCUACAGCAUUCCUCACACAAUUUCAAGCACACUGUCUUGGACUCAGUACUAGGAACACUGCUGCUCGUAGAUGCCAUUAUGUGCGGUACCGAGUAGCGUGAUAGCUCGCAAAAGUGAUAACAUCCCCGAAUGUGAUUAACCGAGAAUUCCACUCCAAGUCUGUGUGUGUGUGUGUGUGUGUGUGUGUGUGUGUGUGUGUGUGUGUGUGGGUGUGGGUGUGGGUGUGGGUGUAAUUCAGGGUUAUGUACAACCAAGGAUGCUAAGGUCUGUCUGUGUAUGUUUUUACUUGAACAAGGAUGUUUCUUGAUAUGGUAUAUCUCUUUGGAGUGCACUGUAUGGGCUUCCUGUGCAUAUUGUGAUAGGUGAUGGCUGUCGCUGCGGCUGUUUAGUGCUUUGGAAACUUUGUACUGUGACUGGAAUUGACUUUGUGCAAGAUAUUGUGCAAGGAUUGACUUCUCUGCACUCCUCCUGCACCAGAGGGGCCCUUUUAUGCAGCAACGCCAUGUCAGUAAAGUGCCUGUUACAGGACAGGACUUGUGCUUGCAACAGUGAUGUUUGCAACUCUUGCACAUUUUUCUUCUCUGUAGUGGUACUUUCUGGCUGGGUCAUUUGCAUUUGCUUAUUAUUAAUUGGUGAGAGUGGGGACAGUGUUUUGUAAUGAACACGUCACCUGAUUCCUACUUUUAUGUUGCACUCAAAGCAAUUUAUUGGAUUCACACAGUAAUAUAAGUACAUUUGGAACAAAUUUAUUUUGUGCACUGCUGUAACUAAAAUAUGUCGUGCUUUAAAGGUGAGCACUUACAGUGAUAUUGCUGAUGCUAGCACUCUGUUUAACGUUGAAUGAACUUACUGUAGAAAGACAGGCUAACACUUCAACAGCUGGGGCUACCAUUGUCAAGGGAACCUUAACGUACCCUUGGAAAGUCAGUUUGAUGUAAAUAGUGCCACGAACUUUGUGUGGCUUGGCAGUUUAGUUUGGCGUUGUUAGCAUAGCAUUGUUGCUCCAUGACGCUAUCACAUACCUUGGGAAAGUGGGCAACUUUCUUGGUUUGGUUUAAGGGCUGAUUCCACAUGGGAUAGUUUUUGGUCGUUUGCAAGUUCUCAUCACAUGUUGCAUGUCAUUACCGUGCUAACUAGGCUGAGUUAAGUUGCCAUGGGUGUCGAGGCUUCCUGAACAAAGGUAGGUUUAUGUAUGGAAACAUUGGGGACACUGCACAACCCACGAGGUAUAAAAAACCACUUAAAGGGACACGACAGGAAAAUAUUAACUCAAGCAACAUUGAAACACUAAGCUUCUGUACUAACGAAUUCGUCAUUCACAGCUAGAACAGAGCUUUUGUAAGCGAGAAAAUGACGAACAUUCAAAAUCAGAAAGGUGCCACCUGUCGUGGAGUAUGGUGCCUCUCUCGUGUGACGCGUGGCAUGAUGUCAGGGCACCAGGCGGCUGGCGCCCCCCAUUAGCUGGUAGACAGAGAGGUUGGAGACGGAUGGUUUGAGGAAAGCCACUGAUGCGAGUAGAGAGAGGGGUGGCUGAUUCUCAGAUAGUGGCAGAGGUGGUGAUGGGGAGAUUAUGUCAGGACCUCAAUUGUGGUGCAGACGAUUCAAAUCAACAAGCGGUAGCAGGACAUUUGGUGGCAGUUUUCUAUGCAACAAAGUCAUAUAUUGGCGACCUAAAAACGAUGAUAGACCUUUAGACAGAUAAGCAAGCUAUGGAAUUAACUCAACUUAAUAUUUUCCUUUAGUGUCCCUUUAAAAAAAGGUGGUUAUAAUACUUACCAAAUCCUUUUUUGUAACCAAAUUUUUGUAUUUGUUCUGUCUUCCCUUAACAUGGUGGCUCAUUCUUUUUAUGCUCUUUUGGUACUUUGCACCAGCUAUGGUAAAAUUUAGUGAUAUAUGGUUGCAAUAAUGACAUGUGCAGAGUUUAAUCUGGUGCCAAAUUUUUCUUUUCCAAGUUAGUUUUUUUUUUUUUUUACCUGCCUGAGAAGAUUAUAAUGAAAAUUUAGUCACAUUGAUUCCUUUGUGGUGUUGGUCAUUGUUCUUGCUUACCUCUGCGAACAAACUUUCCAAAAUGUUUAUGCACCUGGAAAGAAAUUUAUUCUCUUGCUUUCCUUUUAUUUUUUACCUUUUCAUGUGUGUGUACUCAUAUGCAUGCAGUACGCUGAAGGAGUUGACUUGUCACUAGCGGUGUCAUCCUUCAGUUUCUUUCUCGUGACAUCAUGUUACGCAACAUUUCUUUUUUUAAUCUUUUUUUUUUUUUUUUCAUAUGGUUUCAGACAGCUUUGCCAACUUGCACACAUUUUUCUCAGUUGAGGCUCCAGGAUGUCAGUUUUCUUACGUGAAUAAUACUGUAUUAUCAGUGUCAUUUGUUGCAUCGGCACUUUGCAUACCUUCAUUAAAGUGCAAGAGGAACACAGGCUUUCUACUUACAUUUACUGUGCUCUGUUGUUGUGCAUGAUUUCUAGCCAUUGAAGUUAUACCAUGGAAACUUGCCUUUCUCUCGACCUGCAUUUGCUCAUAUGAGUGUCGCUGUCAUCUUGAAUUGCUUGCACUGGUUUAAAAAACGUUACAGUGUUUUGUCAUUGACAUUGCUAGAGUGCCUGUAUAGCACAACUUGGAAGAUGCUUUCCAAUAUUUUUCUUUUCUUUGUUAUUGUUGUAAUCUUGUCUGUUUCAAUGACAGUCUCACAGUUCUUGCCUUGCCCACUCUGUGCUUUCUUGGAACAAUGAAAGGAUGUGCAUACAAAGCAAGACUGCAUUAUGCAAGGGAACCAUUGCUUGCUGGGGACAAACUUUAUAUAUGAUUCUUUAGGACUUUUUUUUAUCUCUUGUGUGUGUAAAUUUUGAUAGAUGACGAAAUAAAUAUAUGCUGCCUUUUUCCACAGCAGUACAUGUGCAUAUUAUUCAUCAAGACGUCCACCAGUGUGCCUUCUCAUUUAAAACAUUAAAAAAGCCAUGGCUUCUAAUUGGUCAGUGGCUCAUACAGACAAAUGUCAGUCAUUUUUACAGUUUCUAGUUUUUUUCCUAUGUUUCUUUUUCAACUGCCUAGCUCAUCAAUGUACAGAGAUGCUCUGAAAAAGUAUAAUCUACCACUUUACAUCCUUUUACAUCCAGCAGUUUUCACAAAAGAUUAAAAGUGGACAUCAACAGAGUGCUCGAGUGUGUAAUCUGCUUGAGGUUCUGUCAAAAAAAAAAAAAAAAAAGCUGUUUUGUUUUCAUACAUAGUCGGCCAUCUUUUUGCUGUGUUUGACUAAUUGUGUGCAAUGAGGUUUUAUGUGAAGCAUACAGUUACAUUAGUUACCAUAGAACUAUUGCUUUACCAUUGCUAACUUUUUUUUCUACUAGUAGCCCUCAUGCUCAGUUAGUGUAUUUAAGGUGCAGCUGAAGUGAGUUAAAUGCCUCAUUUAAUUUCCAUUCUGGCAAAGGUGAGAAGCAGGACUCAUUUAAGCUGCUUCAUGUGGACUUAGUGUGCUAAUGUGCCAACAUCUUGCGCUGUUCAUGUCAGUCCCCCCGACUUUAGACACACAUGUAUACAUGCAUUGCCCAGCAAUAAGUUCUGGUUAAUAGACAUGACAAAACUGCUGCAAAAGACAGUAAUGUGUGAAUGUGUUUUUGCACGUAUGUUGUUCAGAUGUGUUAUUGCUUGACCUCAAUUUGACAGCGAUGAAGAGAACUGUAAAGUUUGUUUAAUCCAAAAGGAUCUUGACUCUCUGGUUGUCUGUAGGACAUCCUUGCUUGUUCGUAAACUGAGGAGUUGACAAAAUGGGUAUCAUGAGGUCGUGAUUUCAGCUGCAUUAACAAAAAAAACGAACUGGUUGGUGAAGACACUUCAAAUGAGCACAGUUUGACUACUAGUUUCAGGCUUGUUCAACAUAUGUUGUUGAACCAUCGGGGGCUUGUAAAAGCCAAUGCACCAGUUUGAUGAGUGUGAUGGAAUUUUUUUUUUCUUAACUGGAAGUCAUUAGAGUGAGAAGGCCUUGUUUGAUUAGAAAGCUUGGUGCUUCCGUCUUUUGAACACUUUGCUGUAGUAACAUUGUAUAACCACUGAACAGUUCUCAAUAUUAUCUGCCUGUGGCAUAUGUUAGCCGCAUUAGGUUUGUCAUUGGGGAACUUUGCUGGACCUCAGCAUUUUUGCGUACCUUAUAGAAUUAUGUCACCUUCUAUAGUUGAUACUGCAUGCAUUUGGUUGGCACUUAAAGUGGAGCUCCGGUGGUUGCUGUUGACAAUGGCAAUUCUAGAUUUCAGCUGUGACGUUACCCCAUGGCCAAUUCACUGCAGACAGCUCGUGAAACUAGUAUAUGCUAGAGUGCCCUGUACCAUGACCACUUGGGACAUAUGAUGGCCAUUCCUUACGUAUGGCUGCAAAAUAUGACUUAUGACCUUUGGCUCUCAUUUCUUGGGCUUCGUGCUGCAUGCCUUGUGGCUCGAUUCACCAUUUGCUUGCAGUGGCUGUCAUGGUAUCGCUUCUUGUCGUCCCUCACACGUUACAUUGCACAAGCAAGUUGGGAUCAAGAUGAGCGUGUGAGAUUCUAGCCAGACGUUUCUGUAGGACAUGUGAACCUGACAUAUCUUUGGAGAUGUCCAGGCUGAGGAAGAACUUGAUACAAAUGCAUGCAGUAACUCUCACGUGAAAGUGAAUGCUUCCUUGUAACUGAUUAUGCCAUUGCCUUAUGAAGUGACUAUGCCGCAGGCAUGUGACAAAUUAAGCAUUUCACGGUUAUAACAUUUCCACAGCCUUUAUCUUUAUGCUAGUCGAUAAAAUCUAACUCUAGAUGCUGUUUUCACAUUUUUCUAUGUUGCAGACGUAGAAGAUAAAGUCAGCUGCUAUUGGUUAUAGGAGUUGUUUUCAAGUGGCGCAGUGUCAUUACUUUGCUCUUGCAAUGUUCCGUAAGAGUAGCUGAAACGCUCUUAAGCUUUAACAUGUAUGUUCCAUGCUAACCGUUUUGAUAGUAGCAGCAAUUGGGAAGUUUUCUGUUAGUUUACGUCAAUACGUCAAUACGUUUACACAGGCUAUAACUAAGAGUGAGCAAGUAUAACAUGUAAAUUGUAAUCUUGUCCGCAUUGAGUUGCAAUGCCUGGGUGGCAUUGGUGCUGCUUAAUGGCAAAUGCUGUGAACCAAGUUGGCAUUGGUAAUUUAGCUGCUUGUCGCUUGCAAGAGCACAAUACACAGUAGUCAAGUUGCUGCUGGUGAAGCUAAGUCAAAUGCUCCACAUCCUAAGCUAGCUUCUAUAAUGUGGAGAAAUUGAGGAGGUGCACUCAUGUCCUAACUAUCCUAUCGGGGCAUGACACAGAAAGUGUUGUGCACCAAUCCUUAAGAAGCCAGAGAAAACAGUGCAGCUUGGGAUGCUCCUUGUCUCCCGGCCUGUCUUGGCAUUGUGCAGUUUAAAACUGGCAUGCACGCUAGAAAUACAGUUAAACCUAGUUUGUGUUGUGCACAUUCUUUGACAAGGCACUCUUCAGGUUCUUGGAAGUUGUCAGUGCCUCUUCUGACCAGCUCUGCCACAGAUCACCGCAACCAUUCCAGAUGAGAAAUUUUGUGAGGAAAAACUUUUGCCUUCCAUUUAAUCGUUACAGGAAACCACACAGGAAAGGAGCUUGGUUUCUUGACAAGGCUAGUUAACUUCAUUGUUGAAGAGGUCCCUUUACAACAAAGCUUGCUUUUCAAGAAAGCCAGCUGGUUUCCUUUGUAGCUUCGUGGUGCUGGUAUGUGAAAUGCCAGGGUUUCCUUCCACAAAACAUCCUCCACAUUGUGUAUUUCUACAGUACUUUUGGUAGCUGCAAAUGCAUUGUGUUCCCCAAUCCAUCACAAUUCACUGUUUUGCUCUCUCUCUUUUCUUCCUCCUCCUCCCACCUGGACCUAUGUGCCCACCUUCGAUGGUCGCAUUGUUGGCGAUGGCGCAGCCGGCACAGUGGCCAAGCCUUCCCAGGAGCCUGCACCGCGCCUGGUGUGCCAGUUCUGCAACUACUCGACUGUCUACACUACCACCAUGGUGCGCCACGUGCGCACGCACACGGGCGAGCGCCCCUACCGGUGCGUGUCGUGCGAAAAGGGCUUCACCACCAAGCAGCAGUUGGAGAAACACUGCAGCCAGCCGAGCAAGCCAUGCUUCAAGCCCUUUGCCUGUUCCUACUGCACUGAACGGUUCCCGUCGGAUGCCCUUUUGAGCAGGCAUAGGUGCAUCCCCAACACAUUUUCCAGCUUUUGAAAGUGCCAUGCGGCCCCUGCGUUAGGACUGCAACAGGACCAUGCAACGCGGAAAAAUGAGGGAAGACAAUGGCGGCUCUUCCAGAAUGUGAUGUGAUCAUGUGUGCUGUAUAAUUUGUCAGAGAACAGCAAACGCGUGCCGUGUUUACGUGAAUGCAGCAGUAGUGUACGCAUCUCAUAGCUAAUCGCUUUGCUACAGUGAUUACGUAUGGUGCAUUGCCCUUUGUCCCAAACGAGCCAGAACCUGUUUCGGACAAAAUGUUUCACUGAUGAGCGGAAAGCACAUGCCGGCAGCCAUCUCAAGUUUCCUCUCUCCCUUGAUGGUCCAGCAUUUAUAUGUACCGCAUAAGAUUGACCUUUCUCAGUCUGUCCUUCCCUGGCACAUAAAUGGGAUCCACGUUCCCAGCACUUUACCACCAUUUACAUGGACAUGACGUGCUAGAAAUGCACUACACUACUCCAGUGUUGCAUUCGAGAGAAUGCGGCUAUACUUGUAAUCUUUUGACAGAAAAUGCAGCAUAAUAUUUCGACUGAUGGCCAAGAACAACAAAUCUGUCCUGCAUUCUUAUACAAAAAAACAACAACAAAAAGACUCAACUGAUUUUGCAGAAACAUUUCACUGUGUUCCUGGGAGGUCCUGCCUGCAAUUGUAUAUACGUAUUUCUUUUGAUGUUGUUCAAAGAGUGUACAAGACACCUUGCUUUGUUUGGAAAAGAAUGGCAUAAGAAGCACGAAGCUUCGCAGUGAUGUGCGCAUUUAGGAGGAGGGCUGUGAGGGGCAUCUGUCAUUAAUUUUAACUUUUAGCAAGAACCUCCGAGGGCGCGAACUGACACUUGUUGGGAAAGAAGGAAUAGUAACGGUGGGUAUUCCACGUACAUGGGUGACUUGAUGAGGUAAAUUUGUGCCCUAGUCUGUGUGUUUUGCCACUGAUUGUCCUCACACUGAGUCCUCUGCAGCAGAGUGAAAAGACAUGUUGAUGAUACCCGUGGUGUCAUUAGUUCGUCAUUCAUGAAAGCAAGAAUAUUUGUGUCGUGCUCUAGGCAGCUACUUCAUAAACAAUCAGCCUGGAGCAGCAUGCAUACAUGCCUUACUGGAAAAAUUGUAGCCUAAAUAUUUGUUUCACAGCAUAACUUUCUGUUCUUUUAUUUGUUCAGUCUAAUGUUACAGCAAAUCUUUUAUAUUAUUUCCAGAAUGCUGUCCAAGAUGAUUUUAAUGCUGACCCAAUUGAUGGACUGCUGCUUGUAAUGUUCAUGCCACAUAGAACAUUCUUAAAUGCAUUUUUAGGUCCUCUGUAUUCUGGUGUCUGGAGUAAUGUUAGGCUACUUGUUUGUAUCUGGAGUGGGGAAAUCUGUAUAAAAUGGUCAUUGCUGUUAAAGAAACACGAGUAACAUAGAUAAAUUGGUGGCUGAGCAUUAACUUAUCAACAGCGCACUUAUUUCUAGAGCCAUCAUGCUUGGCUGGCAGUACUAGUAGGGAUGGAGGGAAGGGAUGGAGGCAUACCAGGGCCUUGCUCGAGACAUCUCAAUUCUACACUUCCCCACCCCCACCUUCUCGCUACACCCAGCUUGUUGCAUCUGUCCUUGUUAUUUUGGGGGGAGGAUGGGAAUAUAGGCAUGUGGUUUAGGCAUACAAAGUAAACCAUGAAAAAUUGGCAUAUUUAUACGAGGAUUUUCCUACCCAUUGCAACUCGCUUGCAUGGCAGACGCAGGUUUAAAAGGCCAGCUUUUCAUGUUGUGACACAUGACUUGGUGGUGGUGGGCUGUGCAUCUAGAAAUCAUAGUGUGUACCAGCAAAACAUAGAGCUUGUAGUGAAGGAGGAUAUCACUUCCUGCGCCGCAUCUUGUCAAUAGCUCUGUCAUGAAAAAACACUCUGUGGUUAGCACUUAAGGUGGCGUCCUCGUUGGAAGCUUAAUUUUGCAAUGAGCACAAUUAUUUUUUCGCUGCUAAGUUUCUUUAUCCCUAUGCAACUUUUGAUAGUGCGCACUUGUGCAGAAAUGAGCGAAUUGAGAAAAAGUGCCUGAUUGUUGCCGUUGAGAGGUGCUACAUGAAGAGUGUGAGACAAAUGCUUUUGUGUAAAUGCGGAGGCUCUUGGUCUGUGAAUGCUAAUAGUAGUCUGUUCUUUUCGAGUGAUGGAGACUGGCCACACAUUUUUUUUCCCCCAUAUUGUGUGAGCUACAGUGCCGACUUUUGUCCACCUAUUUCUUUGUUUUGCAAUUCAGAUUUUUUCAAUACACGCAGAAUCGGCCUGAAUAAUUGAAAUCUUUGAUAGACAAUCUUUCACAAAUUUGUUCCGUGCAGGCGUGUCCCUUUCAGAUGUCACUGUCAGUGGCUGGAGCACCUUAGAACGUGAUGUUGCUAACACUAGUAUUAUGUUAACCCUUGUAAUGCCCAACUUGUCAUACAUGCAACUUCCUGUUUUUAAUUUUGACCAUGCUUAAAAUUGCAGUUUAAAGUGGUUGUGCUAGUUAGCAAUAUUAGCAGUUGAAUAACCACUUUGAGUAGUGUAUUUACAAUUGUACAUGCCGAGAUAACGCCUUGAAACCACAAGCACAAAUGAAAAUGAUAUAUUAAACUUCCAUGCAAAGCCAACAGACAAUGAAACCAUGGAAAGCAUAGGGGAAUAACCGGUUUCUUUUAAAAUUAAAUUGGAAUUUAAAUUACCUAUGCAUCAGGGUUAAAUACUGCAAUAGGCCUAAUAAAGGAAAUGGUAAAUGAAAGUAGAAGGCCAAGCAACUUGCCACUGGUGGGAGUUGAGCCUGCAACCUUCGUAUAACGUGAGUAGUGCUCUACCGACCGAGCUACGGUGGUCGUCCCUCCAGCCACUUUCUUGGGUAUUUCUGUAUGUUUAGUAAACUUUUGCCUUGUGAGUGUUAGUUGGUGCCAUUCACAUCUACAAUGGCGAAUGUGGUGCAUCCUUUCAACUUCAAGUGUCACGGAGCAUGUUAUUUUAUGAGCAGGCACCUGGCUAAUAAACCCCCGUAUGCUACCUCAAGGUAGCACAGAACAUGUACUGUGUGAAACCUGCUAUUGAAAGGACAUUCCACAGCAGCUGUAGUUCAAUUAGUAGAGUAUCACAUGUGUCACACUGAGGUUAUAGGUGCGGCUCUCACCGGUGGCAAGGUGUGUGUGUUUCUCACUUUCAUUUACCUUUUCUUUUAUCAAAAAUGUGAAGCGCAUCACGAAAUUUUGUAAAAUGGCUGCAUAUUUUUCUACACCACAUGUGGAAUGAUCUGUCUCAUUCCUGCAUGUAUAAAAAGAUUUUUGCGUAGUUCAGGUGCAAAUACCAUAUUGUAGAUUAACCACUGAAACUUACUGGAAAAAUCAAAAUUAUUAAUCUGUUUUGUGCCCAAACAGCGGGUAAACAUGGUUGUUUGCGAAGAUGAUGCAGGUGCUUAGCUGACAGCAUUUAAAUUAACCAACUAGUCCAAGUCUAUGCAUUUUAUUCUGUUGCUCUUCAGUAUUUUUUUUAAAGGGUAAGUAAAGGCAAAUAUUGAAUCAGUCUAUAGAAUCCCAUAUUAGUAGAGGUGAGCAAAUAUUAAAUAACGAAACUUCUUUUGUUUGUCUUUCUUUGCGCUACCCAUUUUAGAUGCCAUAUACCAACUCGCCCAACGUCAUGUUCUACUGAGUUAUAUUCUGAUAGGGAUGCUAAUUUAACCUUGUAGCUGUACGCCUUGUAUAUAUUUUGGGAUUGAAGCGACCAUUUCUAGAGUUGGGCCAUGGCCUACCUAAAGUUCUGUUUCAGAGCAUCACUCUUGGAGCU